GGACCCGGAGGCAGUGCUCUGGAGGAACUGUGAUGCAUUUCCAGGAUUGGGGGAUCAGGUUUCCUUAAAGCUAUCAAGUGCCAGGUGUGCUCUGAUCCUUUUCUCUGGCUCUUUCCAUCUGAGGGUUGCUUGGCUUUCUAACUGACCACCCAGACCUUCCCAAUGUGUGUACAGAAACAAUACAAACAAGUCUGUUUCUCAAGAUGACCAACUUCCUGUGUCUUCCAAUCGAUUCCCCCUGGAACCACACUCUCCUCUUCCUGUGAUUUCAGUUCCUGUUUAUAGGGGACUAUCAAUGAUAGUUAAUUGGUGUAAAUGGAAAACACUUGGCUGCUUUUGGAAUUGGAGAAUGGGACUAUUUUCUUCCUCUAAUCACUGUGCUUUCAUACAAAAUAACCACACACUUUUAGCCAAAGUAAUUUAACACAAUAAUACAAAAUAAGCAACAAUGUGCCUCCCUUUGGGUAAUAAACAAAACAUAAUGUGAAAUGUAACAAAGUGAAAAACCAAGAUAUGAAUAUUUUUACAU